UUAUUUGAGCACUAAUUACCAGAUUGUUGUUGUAGCUGUGAUACGUGCCACAACUAAACAAAUCAGCACGAAUUCUGUGUGUGCAGAUCUCGGCACGUGGGUACAACGAAAAUAGCUAGAUUAAUUGGCAUUGGGUACAACGAAAAUAGCUAGAUUAAUUGGCAUUAUUCAACAGGAGCGAAACGACGAACAAAAUAAAGUAAGAGAGGGUUCCUACAAAUUAUGCCAUAUACAAAACUACAUCAUUGCAGUGCUCGCCUCGAAGCUCCUUCAUUGGGAACAUCUCCGGAAGUAAAGCCCCAUUUCCAUAUAACCAAUCUGAUACUUAGAUCAAUCAUCACCACCACAAAUUUUUCUGUAGGUAUAAACAAGAAAAAAUACAGAGAAGAAAAAUGAGCAUGUAUGGCCUACAGGUAUGAACAAGAACAGUGAGCUGAUUAGUACGAAAGGAAAGAGGACCAUGGACACGAACUGUUGUUGCGAAGCACGAAGUCGCCCCUUCACCCUCCUCUGGUGGCGCUUGGCCCAUCACCAGCCUUGCUGCUCCUUCCCUCGCCCGCCAGACCCCAACCGGCCGCCACCAUCGCCUGCAUCCAGGCCACCAACAGCAGCCUUGACCCGACCCCCACCCUUGCCUGCGUGCCGCUCUAUGGCACCACUCCACUAUGUUAAUAAAACACACAUUCACAUUAGUAAUUAGCCUACCAUUUUCAGUUUUAUGACCAAACAAAUUAAAACCAAAAAAACUUAGAAUCCUUGUCAUUUCUUUCUCAUAGUUGUUGCCCGACUAACAGUCAAAUUGAAGUCUCGUGUACUGCCUCGAGAAAGUGUGUAUUGGACUGCUUGUCGCAUGUAUGUCUUCAGCAUGCUCUUGCACUCUCGCUCCUUUGUGAGCUGGCUUCACCACAUUUCAGUAGGAUUAUUAGCGUAUUGCUAGGUUUCCUCGAAUGCACUAACCCA
rnacentral:lncRNA from 1 species